CGGCAACCAAAGGCGGCAGCGUGAACCAGGAGGUCAUGAAGCAGUGGUUCAGGGAAGUUUGGUUCAAGCGUCCCAGUAA
rnacentral:ribozyme from 1 species